AUUGAACGCUGGCGGCAUGCCUUACACAUGCAAGUCGAACGGCAGCACGGGUGCUUGCACCUGGUGGCGAGUGGCGAACGGGUGAGUAAUACAUCGGAACAUGUCCUGUAGUGGGGGAUAGCCCGGCGAAAGCCGGAUUAAUACCGCAUACGAUCUACGGAUUAAAGCGGGGGACCUUCGGGCCUCGCGCUAUAGGGUUGGCCGAUGGCUGAUUGGCUAGUUGGUGGGGUAAAGGCCUACCAAGGCGACGAUCAGUAGCUGGUCUGAGAGGACGACCAGCCACACUGGGACUGAGACACGGCCCAGACUCCUACGGGAGGCAGCAGUGGGGAAUUUUGGACAAUGGGCGAAAGCCUGAUCCAGCAAUGCCGCGUGUGUGAAGAAGGCCUUCGGGUUGUAAAGCACUUUUGUCCGGAAAGAAAUCCUUGGCCCUAAUACGGUCGGGGGAUGACGGUACCGGAAGAAUAAGCACCGGCUAACUACGUG
rnacentral:rRNA from 1 species